rnacentral:rRNA from 1 species
GGGGGCUGCUCCUAGUACGAGAGGACCGGAGUGGACGCAUCACUGGUGUUCGGGUUGUCAUGCCAAUGGCACUGCCCGGUAGCUAAAUGCGGAAGAGAUAAGUGCUGAAAGCAUCUAAGCACGAAACUUGCCCCGAGAUGAGUUCUCCCUGAGACUUUAAGUCUCCUGAAGGAACGUUAAAGACGAUGACGUUGAUAGGCGGGUGUGUAAGCGCAGCGAUGCGUUGAGCUAACCGGUACUAAUGAACCGUGAGGCUUAACCUUACAACGCCGAAG